rnacentral:rRNA from 1 species
GACGAACGCUGGCGGCGUGCUUAACACAUGCAAGUCGAACGAAGUGGCGAACGGGUGAGUAACGCGUAAUCAACCUGCUCUUCUGAGGGGGACAACAGUUGGAAACGACUGCUAAUAUCGCAUACUGAAGGAGGGGAUUGCGUCGGAUUAGCUAGUUGGAGGGGUAACGGCCCACCAAGGCGAUGAUCGGAAGCCUGUCUGGGAGGAGGAACGGCCAAAUUGGGACUGAUGCACGGCCCAGACCCCUGCGGGAGGCAGCAGUGGGGAAUCUUCCGCAAUGGGCGAAAGUCUGACGGAGCAACGCCGGGUGAGUGGUGACGGCCUUCGGGUUGUAAAGCUCUGUUAAUCGGGACGCGGUACCGGAAUAGAAAGCCACGGCUAACUACGUGCCAGCAGCCGCGGUAAUUC